rnacentral:rRNA from 1 species
UACGUAGGGUGCAAGCAUUAAUCGGAAUUAUUGGGCGUAAAGGGCGCGUAGGCGGGAGCGUAAGUCAGAUGUGAAAUUCCAAAGCUCAACUUUGGAGCUGCAUUUGAAACUGCGUUUCUAAGAGGGAUGGCGGAGAAAGCGGAAUUCCACGUGUAGCGGUGAAAUGCGUAGAUAUGUGGAAGAACACCUGUGGCGAAAGCGGCUUUCUAGCUAUCACCUGACGCUGAGGCGCGAGAGCAAGGGGAGCAAA